GAUGAAGAACGUAGCGAAAUGCGAUACGUAAUGUGAAUUGCAGAAUUCAGUGAAUCAUCGAAUCUUUGAACGCAUAUUGCGCUCUCUGGUAUUCCGGAGAGCAUGCUUGUUUGAGUAUCAGUAAACACCUCAACUCCCUUUUCUUUUUUGAAAUUGGAGCUGGACUUGAGUGAUCCCAACGCUUUCUUCCAAGAAAGUGGCGGGUUGCUUGAAAUGCAGGUGCAGCUGAACUUUUCUCUGAGCUUUAAGCAUAUCUAUUUAGUCUGCCUAAAAAACAGAUUAUUACCUUUGCUGCAGCUAACAUAAAGGAGACUAGUUCUUGUGCUGACUGAUGCAGGAUUCACAGAGACAGCUUCGGCUGACUUUGUAAACUCGAUCUCAAAUCAAGUAAGACUACCCGCUGAACUUAAGCAUAUCAAUAAGCGGAGGA
rnacentral:misc_RNA from 1 species